UACGAAGGGGGCAAGCGUUGUUCGGAAUUACUGGGCGUAAAGGGCGCGCAGGCGGCUCGUUAAGUCAGAUGUGAAAGCCCCGGGCUCAACCUGGGAAUAGCAUUUGGGACUGAUGGGCUAGAGAUCGGGAGAGGAGAGUGGAAUUCCCAGUGUAGAGGUGAAAUUCGUAGAUAUUCGGAAGAACACCAGUGGCGAAGGCGGCUCACUGGUCCGGUACUGACGCUGAGGUGCGAAAGCGUGGGGAGCAAACAGG
rnacentral:rRNA from 1 species